rnacentral:rRNA from 1 species
AUUGAACGCUGGCAGCAGGCUUAACACAUGCAAGUCGAGCGGAGAUGAGGUGCUUGCACCUUAUCUUAGCGGCGGACGGGUGAGUAAUGCUUAGGAAUCUGCCUAUUAGUGGGGGACAACAUUCCGAAAGGAAUGCUAAUACCGCAUACGCCCUACGGGGGAAAGCAGGGGAUCUUCGGACCUUGCGCUAAUAGAUGAGCCUAAGUCGGAUUAGCUAGUUGGUGGGGUAAAGGCCUACCAAGGCGACGAUCUGUAGCGGGUCUGAGAGGAUGAUCCGCCACACUGGGACUGAGACACGGCCCAGACUCCUACGGGAGGCAGCAGUGGGGAAUAUUGGACAAUGGGCGGAAGCCUGAUCCAGCCAUGCCGCGUGUGUGAGGAAGGCCUUUUGGUUGUAAAGCACUUUAAGCGAGGAGGAGGCUACCUGGAUUAAUACUCUAGGAUAGUGGACGUUACUCGCAGAAUAAGCACCGGCUAACUCUGUGCCAGCCGCCGCAGUAACAC